GAUGAACGCUGGCGGCGUGCCUAAUACAUGCAAGUAGAACGCUGAAGGAAGGAGCUUGCUCUUUCCGGAUGAGUUGCGAACGGGUGAGUAACGCGUAGGUAACCUGCCUGGUAGCGGGGGAUAACUAUUGGAAACGAUAGCUAAUACCGCAUAACAGUAGAUGUUGCAUGAUAUCUACUUAAAAGGUGCAAUUGCACCACUACCAGAUGGACCUGCGUUGUAUUAGCUAGUUGGUGAGGUAACGGCUCACCAAGGCGACGAUACAUAGCCGACCUGAGAGGGUGAUCGGCCACACUGGGACUGAGACACGGCCCAGACUCCUACGGGAGGCAGCAGUAGGGAAUCUUCGGCAAUGGACGGAAGUCUGACCGAGCAACGCCGCGUGAGUGAAGAAGGGUUUCGGAUCGUAAAGCUCUGUUGUAAGAGAAGAACGAGUGUGAGAGUGGAAAGUUCACACUGUGACUGUAUCUUACCAGAAAGGGACGGCUAACUACGUG
rnacentral:rRNA from 1 species